CCAGACGGCCGGAUGGCUGCCUCUCGCACCGGGGAAACCCGCGAGGGGAGGAAAGUCCGGGCUCCACGGAGACACGGUGCCGGUUAACGGCCGGCGGGGGCGACCCCAGGGAAAGUGCCACAGAAAGCAAACCACCAAAGGGGCUCCGGUCCCAAGGUAAGGGUGAAAGGGUGCGGUAAGAGCGCACCGCGCCCCCGGCAACGGGGGUGGCAGGGUAAACCCCACCGGGAGCAAGACCAAAUAGGGGCGGCACGCCGGAGAUUCUCCGGCAGGCGGGUUUCCGCGCCGCCGCCCGGGUAGGUCGCGCGAGGCGUUCGGUAACGGGCGUCCCAGAUGAAUGGCCAUCUCUUGGCGCCGAUUUUUUCGGUGGCAGGGACAGAACCCGGCUUACAGG
rnacentral:RNase_P_RNA from 1 species